AUACACAGUCGGUGGCCAAGCGAAAGCGAUAAGUCAUCCACCUGGGGAGUACGACCGCAAGGUUGAAACUCAAAGGAAUUGACGGGGGCCCGCACAAGCGGAGGAACAUGUGGUUUAAUUCGAUGAUACGCGAGGAACCUUACCCGGGCUCGAACGGCAGGGGAAUUGACCAGAGAUGGUCAAGUCUUCGGACUCCUGUCGAGGUGCUGCAUGGUUGUCGUCAGCUCGUGCUGUGAAGUGUCGGCUUAAGUGCCAUAACGAGCGCAACCCUUGCCAUUAGUUGCCAUCAGGUUAAGCUGGGGACUCUAGUGGGACUGCCACCGCAAGGUGUGAGGAAGGGGGGGAUGACGUCAAAUCAGCACGGCCCUUACGUCCGGGGCGACACACGUGUUACAAUGGUGGGUACAGAGGGAAGCUACCUGGCGACAGGAUGCAGAUCUCGAAAACCCAUCCCAGUUCGGAUUGGAGUCUGCAACCCGACUCCAUGAAGUUGGAUUCGCUAGUAAUCGCGCAUCAGCCAU
rnacentral:rRNA from 1 species